AUCCAUUUUACUAGUCCUAAAUAGGACGAAACGUGUGUCCUGGAU
rnacentral:hammerhead_ribozyme from 1 species